rnacentral:rRNA from 1 species
UACAGAGGGGGCUAGCGUUGUUCGGAAUUACUGGGCGUAAAGGGCGCGUAGGCGGCCACCGCAAGUCAGUUGUGAAAUCUCUGGGCUUAACCCAGAACGGUCAGCUGAUACUGCGGGGCUAGAGUGCAGAAGGGGCAACUGGAAUUCUCGGUGUAGCGGUGAAAUGCGUAGAUAUCGAGAGGAACACCUGCGGCGAAGGCGGGUUGCUGGGCUGACACUGACGCUGACAGCGCGAAAAGCUAGGGGGAGCGAACGGGG